rnacentral:rRNA from 1 species
AUUACCCACUCCCGGCACGGGGAGGUAGUGACAAAAAAUAACGAUGCGGGACUCUUUUGAGGCCCCGUAAUCGGAAUGAGUACACUUUAAAUCCUUUAACGAUAAUCAAUUAGAGGGCAAGUCUGGUGCCAGCAGCCGCGGUAAUUCCAGCUCUAAUAGCGUAUAUUAAAGUUGUUGCGGUUAAAAAGCUCGUAGUUGGUUCUGCGUGCCACGCUGUCGGUUCGCCGCCUGACGGUGUAACUGGCAUGUCGUGGCAUGUCCUGUCGGUGGCGAACUAGGGCCUCACUCGUUUUCCCCACUCGGGCCUCAGCUCGGGUGUGUGGAGCGGUGUGUUCACUCGGUUCGCCGGCUCUAUCCUGCCGCGGUGCUUUUAACCAAGUGUCGAGGUAGGCCGACACGUUUACUUUGAACAAAUUAGAGUGCUCAAAGCAGGCUUAAAUCUCUGCCUGAAUAGUGGUGCAUGGAAUAAUGGAACAGGACCUUGGUUCUAUUCUGUUGGUCUCCGGAACACAAGGUAAUGAUCAAUGUGGACAGGCGGGGGCAUUCGUAUUGCGACGUUAGACUUGGCAAAUGCUUUCGCGGUGAAAUUCUUGGAUCGUCGCAAGACGCACUAGAGCGAAAGCAUUUGCCAAGUAUGUCUUAAUUGAUCAAGAACGAAAGUUAGAGGUUCGAAGGCGAUCAGAUACCGCCCUAGUUCUAACCAUAAACGAUGCCAGCCAGCGAUCCGCCGACGUUCCUCCGAUGACUCGGCGGGGAGCUUCUUCCCGGGAAACCAAAGCUUUUGGGUUCCGGGGGAAGUAUGGUUGCAAAGCUGAAACUUAAAGGAAUUGACGGAAGGGCACCACCAGGAGUGGAGCCUGCGGCUUAAUUUGACUCAACACGGGAAACCUCACCAGGUCAGGACAUUGGAAGGAUUGACAGAUUGAUAGCUCUUUCUUGAUUCAGUGGUUAGUGGUGCAUGGCCGUUCUUAGUUGGUGGAUCGAUUUGUCUGGUUAAUUCCGAUAACGAACGAGACUCUAGCCUAUUAACUAGGCGUUUCCGGUAUCGAUGCUACCGGCGAUACUUAUUCUUCUU